GAGCCUGGCCCUUGUGCUGCCGGGCAGCGGUGUCGGAGCGAUUGCACACAGAACUGAAUCGCUCAAUGGAAACGGCGCCUGGGAUGGUUCCGUGCCUCCCAUCAGGGAGUGAGGCAGCAGCACCUGCUGUAAAACCAGAACAGAAGGGAAUGCUCACCCCUUGAUCCACCAUCUCUGUGUGUGAUGCUGCCUGUCUCUGCAGUGCCCAUGCUUAGGAAGAAUGCUGUAGAGCUGCUGUGCUCCAGAUGCAGAAGCUGCACUGUCCCCUAAACUGAUUCAUGAGAUGAAGGCCAGCAAGGAUCUGCUGAAAAAGAAGGUCAGAGAACAUCCCAUUCCUUUUAUCAAGCCACCUAGGUAGAUUCUUGAAUCCACCUCCUGGAAAGGAGGCAUAAACCUGCUGCCUGAGCUGUCUUAAGAGCUUGAUCAAGCAGUGAGCUGGCAAAAUGCCUCUGCUAUUCCUUCUACUCUCAUGCUUGUCCCUUGGGAAGGGUUCCCCGUCCCUCUCAGCAGACAACAGACUGGGAAAAUGCCUGAUUGAUUUUGUAAUGUUUGGGAAAACCAGGUAGAUUGCUCUUCUGUGGCUGAAGACAUGCAAUGCAAGUUUUCACACCACUAAAAUCUCCUUCUGACAGUCAAUCCUCUUCCUGAGGCUGUGCCUGAGCACCCCAGUUAAUUCACUCCAGUUGAUACUAUCAGCUAUUUUACCUUUCUGCAUCUUCUCUCCAGUUGUAAUCAGCUGCUUUGCAAUCAUUUGUUUCAAAGUGAAAUUGAUGUAACAUUUUUUUCUUUAUUACCAUUUAUUUUCUUGUCACUGUGUGCUGCCAUUCCAAAUACCAGUGAAAUGCAUGCCAGGGCCACAGAGGUAUUUUGGUGGUUCUUCAGAAGAGGAAAGAUGAUGGUAGGCAUUGGAAAAUAUUUUAUUGUAAGCCUUACUAAAAACAUUUGCAAACUAAACCAAAUAACAGAAGCUUACCAUGUUGCACAGCUGACCAUUGAAUGUGAAAAUGUGAAUAAAAUUGUUUUGAAAACUCCAGUUCACAGAAAGAAUGGGAUGUAGUUUAGAAAUUCUCAGGGAAAAACUGUAGAGGGUUUCUCCAUACUCCAGCUGCGCUGAGAAACAUUGUGUGGUGAAGGGGUUAAAGCAGAGCAGGCAGCCCUACCACAACAGGGAUCUUUUGUCACAUAAAAGCAAAAGCAUUACACUGCUAUAUUUAAAGGGCUUAUAUGGAGGACCAAGACAUCCCAUCAUCUUAGGUUCUGUGGAAGAAUGGGAUAGAACCUGAAAUAGAAAGCAGUCUUAUAUAUGGGGGACUUGACAAGUUUGUUUCUGUGUUAUUCAGUCAAUUUUUGCUGUCAUUCUCCAGCCUAGCUCUUGAAUCCAUUCAACCUCUAAUAGCAUGAGAGACUCUUUAUUCACUGAGGAGGUGUUGAUUAAUCAAAUUAUGCAAGGAGUUGUCUGAAUUUUCUUCUUAGAAUUCAAAUACUCCAAUGCAAUUAUUCUGUGAAAAAUUUGCACAUUUUCACUGGCACUGAUCACUGCUGUGGCUGAUGUGCUCUGAUAAAGUCCAGUGUUUCUGGGAAUAUACUUGGGUCUAAAGUACCAGCUUUUCUAAUGGUCAAUAAGGACUUGAAAUCUCAUAGUCCUCACACCAAGAUUUUUUUGAGAAUUAUCAGACUAUCAGUAGCAGUCUAGGAAAAGAGCUAGCCAAAAAUGGGGGAUUUCCACUCCAUAAGCAAUUCAGAUGUUUUGAAAUUUGUUUUUGUAUCUAACACUCUUAUACUAAAUGAAAAAUGACAGUUGUUUCUUUUGGAUUAAACAUUACCCUAUAUAUUUGCAAAGUUUUCAGGUGCUCUUGCUCUGUAUACCUUGACUGGCUGUGCUGCUCACACAGCUGGGCUCCACUGGACAUCUCCAGAGAAAUGCAUCCCAGCUGGUUGGAAGUCCCCUCCCUCUCUGAAGGGAUGCAGGAGCUACAAGCACGUGCCCAUCCUUCCUCUGGAGCACAGUGGUAACUGGGACAGAGCCAUAGAUGCCUAUUGGAUGUGAAACACAAUGUUUGUUUAGGAAGAAACAAAAAAAGAACCUGUAUAUUUUGACUGGAACCAUUCUGAGCCUCAGAGAAAUCCCUUCUAGUGGAAAACCAAGAAUGACAACAGGAUUGAAGCAAUUAGGCUAAUUCCAGUUCUGCAAAACAGAUAUUUUCAAAGAGAAUAGUUAAUACAGGGAAAGAUCUGGGCAGAUCUUCUUUGAUGUCCUAAUGACAUGACAUAUCUAAACUUUUUAAAAGAAUGGAAUGUUUUCCCAAAAACAGGUGGGCUUUUUGUUCUAUAAAAAGUCCCAUAGUCCUGAGAGGUGAAAAGCAACAGAGAACAGUAAAACAGAAACCAAGGAGAAUCAGAGAUUAAAAUUUUAUAGUAAGUUUAUACACAAUGCAGGUAUAUGCAGAGAACACCCAAAUACACCAGGAACAGAAUGAAUCUCUUCCUUUAAAGUUUAAACUAAAGGCCACAAGAAUCCCAACUGGACUUUGUCUCAGGCAAAACUGACACUAUAGCUCUCAAGAAUGGUAAGUAAUUUGAGUGUAUGUAUACAUCUCUCUCUCUCUCUCAAUAUAUCUCCAAAUACACUAAGUAACAUUCAGAAGAUGGAAAGAGAGAGACACUGCAAACAUAUAUAUGAAGAGUUUGCCUACUAUAGGUGGAAUUUAAAGUUAUAUUUGUUUGACUUGGUAAAUGUGAUCUUUCUCUUUAAGUUCAUCCUUAAAUUUUAAAGCAUAAUUUGUUUUGAUUGAAUUUCUAAUGUUAAUUAGUGAGGCUUGCACUGUUAAAGACAUCAAGAACAUAUAAUUAUGUUCCUUAUAAUUAUACCAUAAUUGUUUUAGUACGUUAAAUGAUCUAAUAGAUUUUUUCCUGUUUCAACAGCAGCAUUACUACCAUCUCUGUUUUAUGAGAUAACUGGCAAGCAUUCAGUAGGUGCUUUCAAGCAUUUCAAGUAAAGUUUUUAUGGGUAUUCAUCUACUAAUGAAAUAUUCAUGCAUUAUAUUUUUCUCUAUGACAAGUGACUUUCACUGAAGCGCCUAAUGCUUGGUUUGCUUAGACAGAUAUAACAUUCAAUCAAACUAAUGGAAACUGUGGAGUACUGUUAUACUGGUUAUUACUAAAUCAAAUUCUCUUGAUAAAUAUUGAGUCUCUGAUGUUAAAAAGCAUUUCUAGCAUGAUGCAUGGAUAGUAAAGCAAUAAUCUGGCCCCUUGUUAAAAAUGUUAAUAUUACAGCUGUCAUCAUUUAACAAUUAACAUGAUUUCCCAAGUGGAGCAAUGCCUCAAUCUUAGAGUAUUAAAAAAUACAAUCUGUAUGUUGUUUGAGAUUUUACAUCUUGUGCAUGCAUUCACUCCCAAUGCAGAACACUUGGGCAAGUUUAUAUUACCAGCAAAAUAUGUAUACAUUCUCUGCUUAAAAUUUUACAUUUCCUUCAAGUAUCAUUACUUUCACCCACAUCAAUAUGAAGAAAUCAAUUUUGGUAAUUCAUAGGCAGGAUGCUAAUGAUCCUCUUACAAAACAGUUGGUAAAGGCCUUUAGAGAAUUGUCUGGGCAUACUGAUGUUUUUCCUAUUUGCUGCCUGGUUGCUAAAUCUCAUUAAAUGAAUCUAAAAUAAAUAAAAUGUUUUCCCACAAUACUUUUCCACAUGUGUUCUUUUGACAGUUUUUGCAAGA